UAAGUAACAUGUAGCGUUUCGAC
rnacentral:siRNA from 1 species